UAAUCAUUUGUCUAUUAAUUGUAGACCUGUAUGAAAGGCAAAAUGAGAGCCCAACUGUCUCUUAUAACGAAUCAAUUAAACUGAUCUUCUAGUACAAAAGCUAGAAUACCGACAUAAGACCAGAAGACCCUGUGAAGCUUUAACUAACCUAUUAAACCCAAUAAUAACUACUUUAGGUUGGGGCGACCUUGGAAUAAAAAAGAACUUCCAAUCUAUGACUCCCUCAUAGGAAGGCAAACAAGCCAACACGACCCAGUACAGCUGACAAUUGAAACAAGUUACUCCAGGGAUAACAGCGCCAUCUUCUUUAAGAGCCCAUAUCAAAAAGAAGGUUUACGACCUCGAUGUUGGAUCAGGACACCCCAGCAAUGCAACCGUUACUAAAGGUU
rnacentral:rRNA from 1 species